GCUAAGGUGGCAGAGCCUGGUAAUUGCAAAAGGCCUAAGCCCUUUCUAUCGGAGGUUCAAAUCCUCUCCUUAAGCU
rnacentral:tRNA from 1 species